rnacentral:rRNA from 1 species
CCCAAUUGAUUGAUGGUGCUUGCACCUGAUUGAUUUUGGUCGCCAACGAGUGGCGGACGGGUGAGUAACACGUAGGUAACCUGCCCAGAAGCGGGGGACAACAUUUGGAAACAGAUGCUAAUACCGCAUAACAGCGUUGUUCGCAUGAACAACGCUUAAAAGAUGGCUUCUCGCUAUCACUUCUGGAUGGACCUGCGGUGCAUUAGCUUGUUGGUGGGGUAAYGGCCUACCAAGGCGAUGAUGCAUAGCCGAGUUGAGAGACUGAUCGGCCACAAUGGGACUGAGACACGGCCCAUACUCCUACGGGAGGCAGCAGUAGGGAAUCUUCCACAAUGGGCGCAAGCCUGAUGGAGCAACACCGCGUGAGUGAAGAAGGGUUUCGGCUCGUAAAGCUCUGUUGUUAAAGAAGAACACGUAUGAGAGUAACUGUUCAUACGUUGACGGUAUUUAACCAGAAAGUCACGGCUAACUACGUGCCAGCAGCCGCGGUAAUACGUAGGUGGCAAGCGUUAUCCGGAUUUAUUGGGCGUAAAGAGAGUGCAGGCGGUUUUCUAAGUCUGAUGUGAAAGCCUUCGGCUUAACCGGAGAAGUGCAUCGGAAACUGGAUAACUUGAGUGCAGAAGAGGGUAGUGGAACUCCAUGUGUAGCGGUGGAAUGCGUAGAUAUAUGGAAGAACACCAGUGGCGAAGGCGGCUACCUGGUCUGCAACUGACGCUGAGACUCGAAAGCAUGGGUAGCGAACAGGAUUAGAUACCCUGGUAGUCCAUGCCGUAAACGAUGAGUGCUAGGUGUUGGAGGGUUUCCGCCCUUCAGUGCCGGAGCUAACGCAUUAAGCACUCCGCCUGGGGAGUACGACCGCAAGGUUGAAACUCAAAGGAAUUGACGGGGGCCCGCACAAGCGGUGGAGCAUGUGGUUUAAUUCGAAGCUACGCGAAGAACCUUACCAGGUCUUGACAUCUUGCGCCAACCCUAGAGAUAGGGCGUUUCCUUCGGGAACGCAAUGACAGGUGGUGCAUGGUCGUCGUCAGCUCGUGUCGUGAGAUGUUGGGUUAAGUCCCGCAACGAGCGCAACCCUUGUUACUAGUUGCCAGCAUUAAGUUGGGCACUCUAGUGAGACUGCCGUGACAACCGGAGGAAGGU